rnacentral:sRNA from 1 species
GAUGCACUAUGUCCGUCCGCUUGGUCCAGCUCAACAA